rnacentral:rRNA from 1 species
GACGAACCGUGCGAACGUUGUUCGGAUUCACUGGGCUUAAAGGGCGCGUAGGCGGGCGGUCAAGUCGGGGGUGAAAUCUUUCCGCUUAACGGGAAGCGUGCCUCCGAUACUGGCCGCCUCGAGGGAGGUAGGGGCAUGUGGAACUUCCGGUGGAGCAGUGAAAUGCGUAGAUAUCGGAAGGAACGCCGGUGGCGAAAGCGACGUGCUGGACCUCUUCUGACGCUGAGGCGCGAAAGCUAGGGGAGCAAACGGG